UUCACUCUAUGAUUCAAUCUAUGAUUCAAUGAUUCAUUCAAUGAUUUGAAUCAUUGAAUGAAUCAUUGAAUCAUAGAUUAAAUCAUU
rnacentral:miRNA from 1 species